AGCCUCAGCCGACUCUCACCAUAGCCAAACUCCACUGCCAUCUGCCUUCACCAUCGCCAAACACCACUGCCGUCUGCCUUCACCAUCGCCACCACUGCUCACCAUCGCCUUCGCCGUCGACCAGAGUCCCACCGGCCACCGGCAUCGACCCAGCCGCGCUAAGUUCGCCCACCGGUUCACCGACGCCGUCGCCCGCCUUCGCCCACCUUCUCCUCCCUCGCCGUCGACCAGUUCUCCCACCGCCUCCUCCUUCGCCGCCGUCGACCAGUUCACCGGUUCGCCACCGCCGUCGACGACUUCUCCCACCGCCGUAACACUAUAACACUGAGCUGCUAUGGAACUAGAAGACUUAUUUCACCCUCUAUUAAGGGAAGUGAGUAUUAGUAUAGAUCCCUAUGAUGUGUUCUGAGAUGCAGAAUGGGCACUUCUGAUUGGUGCAAAACCUCGUGGCCCUGGAAUGGAAUGAGCUGCCCUAUUGGACAUAAAUGGGCAGAUCUUUGCUGAACAAGUACCAUCUUACCCAUAAGACCAUAAAUAUUGAAGGAUAAACAAUGUGCUUUAUGUUUCUUUUGGACUUCUAGUUCUAGAGAACUACAAAUUGUUUGUUCCAAAUUUAAUAUAGUUACUUACAUAUCACAGGGAAAAGCUCUGAAUGCUGUUGCAUCACGCAAUGUCAAAGUGAUAGUAGUUGGCAACCCUUGCAAAACCAAGUAACAUUAUACCUUUUCUUUUCUCAUUUAUGCCAAGGCAUACCAGCAAAGAACUUUCAUGCUUUAACUAAGUUAGAUGAAAACCAAGCAAAAUGCCAGGUAUGAUAAAGUAUCUAAUGUUACCAUCUGGGGAAAUCACUCAACCACUCAGGUUCCUGAUUCUCUAAAUGCUAAAAUAAAUGGAUUGCCUGUAAAAGAGGUUAUUAAAGAGAUACUAAGUGGCUUGAGGAAUAGUUUACAGAAAAGGUCCAGAAGGUUGAAAAUCUGGGGCGUUUAAAUUGUGAUCUCAACAUCUCGACCGCUCGACAAUGCUAAUUUUGCAAAUGUACAAGAAUAAAUUUAGAAUUUGAAGGUUACUAUUGUAUUGUUGUAUAGAUUUUGAAUUGACUAUCAUUGCUUAGUAUAUGGAUUGAUAAUGUAUUAUUACUUGAACAUAAUGUGGAUUAAUAAUAUUUUAGAAUUAUGUUAUAUUUUAGAA